GGGGGGGGGGGGGGGGGGGGGUGGCGGGGGGAGGGGGGGGGGGAGCUGCGGGGCGGGUGGCGCGCGGGGGCGUGACGCGUGGGACCCUGCCCUUAGGUGCUGAAGGGUUGCCCGGAAGGGGUGCGACUACCGGCGAACGUCGUCGGGCCACCGAGUGAUCUCUUGUGUGUGGGCCCGCGUUGGUUGAGCUGGUUGGUGGGGUAAAAGCCUACCAAGGCGACGCUCCAUAGCUGUGCUGAGAGGAUGAUCAGCCACACUGGGACUGAGACACGGCCCAGACUCCUACGUGGGGCAGCAGUGGGGAAUAUGGGACAAUGGGCGAAAGCCUGAGCCAGCAAUGCCGCGGGAGUGAUGAAGGCCUUAGGGUUGUAAAGCUCUUUUACCCGGGAUGAUAAUGACAGUACCGGGAGAAUAAGCUCCGGCUAACUCCGUG
rnacentral:rRNA from 1 species